CAAAAUGAGAGUUUGAUCCUGGCUCAGGACGAACGCUGGCGGCGUGCCUAAUACAUGCAAGUCGAGCGAGCAGAACCAGCAGAUUUACUUCGGUAAUGACGCUGGGGACGCGAGCGGCGGAUGGGUGAGUAACACGUGGGGAACCUGCCCCAUAGUCUGGGAUACCACUUGGAAACAGGUGCUAAUACCGGAUAAUAAAGCAGAUCGCAUGAUCAGCUUAUAAAAGGCGGCGUAAGCUGUCGCUAUGGGAUGGCCCCGCGGUGCAUUAGCUAGUUGGUAAGGUAACGGCUUACCAAGGCAAUGAUGCAUAGCCGAGUUGAGAGACUGAACGGCCACAUUGGGACUGAGACACGGCCCAAACUCCUACGGGAGGCAGCAGUAGGGAAUCUUCCACAAUGGACGCAAGUCUGAUGGAGCAACGCCGCGUGAGUGAAGAAGGUUUUCGGAUCGUAAAGCUCUGUUGUUGGUGAAGAAGGAUAGAGGUAGUAACUGGCCUUUAUUUGACGGUAAUCAACCAGAAAGUCACGGCUAACUACGUGCCAGCAGCCGCGGUAAUACGUAGGUGGCAAGCGUUGUCCGGAUUUAUUGGGCGUAAAGCGAGCGCAGGCGGAAGAAUAAGUCUGAUGUGAAAGCCCUCGGCUUAACCGAGGAAUUGCAUCGGAAACUGUUUUUCUUGAGUGCAGAAGAGGAGAGUGGAACUCCAUGUGUAGCGGUGGAAUGCGUAGAUAUAUGGAAGAACACCAGUGGCGAAGGCGGCUCUCUGGUCUGCAACUGACGCUGAGGCUCGAAAGCAUGGGUAGCGAACAGGAUUAGAUACCCUGGUAGUCCAUGCCGUAAACGAUGAGUGCUAAGUGUUGGGAGGUUUCCGCCUCUCAGUGCUGCAGCUAACGCAUUAAGCACUCCGCCUGGGGAGUACGACCGCAAGGUUGAAACUCAAAGGAAUUGACGGGGGCCCGCACAAGCGGUGGAGCAUGUGGUUUAAUUCGAAGCAACGCGAAGAACCUUACCAGGUCUUGACAUCUAGUGCCAUCCUAAGAGAUUAGGAGUUCCCUUCGGGGACGCUAAGACAGGUGGUGCAUGGCUGUCGUCAGCUCGUGUCGUGAGAUGUUGGGUUAAGUCCCGCAACGAGCGCAACCCUUAUUAUUAGUUGCCAGCAUUAAGUUGGGCACUCUAAUGAGACUGCCGGUGACAAACCGGAGGAAGGUGGGGAUGACGUCAAGUCAUCAUGCCCCUUAUGACCUGGGCUACACACGUGCUACAAUGGGCAGUACAACGAGAAGCGAGCCUGCGAAGGCAAGCGAAUCUCUGAAAGCUGUUCUCAGUUCGGACUGCAGUCUGCAACUCGACUGCACGAAGCUGGAAUCGCUAGUAAUCGCGGAUCAGAACGCCGCGGUGAAUACGUUCCCGGGCCUUGUACACACCGCCCGUCACACCAUGGAAGUCUGCAAUGCCCAAAGCCGGUGGCCUAACCUUCGGGAAGGAGCCGUCUAAGGCAGGGCAGAUGACUGGGGUGAAGUCGUAACAAGGUAGCCGUAGGAGAACCUGCGGCUGGAUCACCUCCUUUCUAAGGAA
rnacentral:rRNA from 1 species